AUACCCAUCUCUCACUGUAAUUGUUCCAGUUUGUUUACUGCUGUGUUAUGUGAGUUAUUGAUCUUCUCUUUCUAGCUUCUUUGUGUUCUUCCAGUUUCUAAUUCAUUUUUGCUUUUAAAGAGUUUAAAUAAAAGCUUGAAAAGGAUUAUCAAGCUGAGCCUUGAGAAGGCAUUGCUUAAAGCCAGCAUCCAUGCCAAAAAAGAAAGAAAAAAAUUACAAUAAUAAUAAUUUAUAGACCUGAUGACCAUUCUAGCUCAUCAAUGAACUGCCUGGUAGGGACAACAAAUUAGAAUAAUUUAUGGCCUGAUUCUGAGAGGCCCAGCAUGGCCCUGCUCAGCAUUGGGCAGCGCUCUGCAUUCACUGUACUCACGGUGUGGUGGGACUGAUCCUCACAGCUUUCUCUCAUUUUUUAUUUUUUUUUUUUUGUGUGCAGAGGGGAAAGCAAUGUCCAUCUGUACCCAGCUUUCACUUCAGAUUUUGUGAAAUAACACCGACACAUGAGAGUGUACCCAAAACAUCUUUGGUUGCCACUGGAUGCUGAAGCAUUGCGAUCAUCUGAUGUGUCCCUCCAUGGGCAGGAAGUCUCCUACCUCUCGCUUCAGGUUGCAGUUGAUCCGGAGGGGGAUCCUGGGGAUGGUAGCGCCCAUUAGCGCAGUGUCAGCCUUCUUGCAGCAUGGCUAAUGCAGCAUCUGAAAGGAGCAGACGUGCUCGGCUUAAGCAGCCAUAGCGCUGCCACCAGAAUAGCCAGGAAUAACUUGGAGUCAGAUCAGGCAGUGGACAUGCAUCUGGUCCUGCCAGCAUUACGAGUGCCGGCCUCCAAUCUGCAGCAGAUAAAAGACAGGGAUCAGAGCCACAUGCCCUAGCUGCCAACCAUGGAGCUCUCAGCAACCUCGAGAUGCGUUCUGGUGUGCUACACAUUUAGCUCUGUCUGCUGGAGAAGUAACAAAGGUCAAAUGAAGGGGUACCAGCUGUACAAACUGAUGUGCAAAGAAGUUACUCUGCAAGGGAUACUUGAAGCACGACUAUGCACUCGGCUCCAUUUGCAGCGAAGUUACGGAUCAGAUGAAGCAUCUUCAAACCAGCGUCUGCUGCUGUGUGGCUUUCCAGAGAGCUCCAUGAUAAGGACAGCCCACGGGAUGGGGGCAGCACGGUGGCUGUGACAGAGGCAGCUGUUACGCAGGUACCAACGGGGAGCACUCAGCAAGCCUUUGGGACAGGAAGGGAAAGCAAUACAGGGCAGAGCAAACACUUGAGGAAAAAACAGCCGUGAUUUUUGAGCCGGAGAGCAUAAUCUGUGAGUAUGUUCCAGACUUAAUGUCUUAGGUUAAAAUUGUUUCUAGGUAGUCAUUUGAGACUUUAUCUCGGUUGAAGGGGCUAAUCCCAUAGCGGUCCUGCAUAUGGGUUGUAUUGGCAGGGCGUGGGACUCAAAAUGUGCACCUUUCCCUGGCCACCUUCCUUACAGCUUCUGUCAAAGCAAACCAGCUGAGUACAGUGACAAGUUUGCCCAAUGCCUCAGCUUACUGGUGGGCCAGCACACCACUACUGGUGUACUGGUUCAGCUUACCCCUCUUGCUUACGCUGCCUCACCUGUCAUUGGCAAAAGAAAAAUUAAGAAAAUGUGAGAAACACGGUUUUCUCAAAAAAUCGUGAAAUAAAUUGUUAACAUUUACUGUAUCCAACUGUCCCAGGAUGAGGGGAACACAGAGGUGUUUGCUGCAACUGUGGGAAGAGAAGGGAAGGAAUAAGCAGAAGUUGUAUUUAU
ensembl:lncRNA